CUGCAAUUGCAAAAUGCACUCUUGUAAAGAAGUUGCCGCCCAAGACAUUAUACAGUUUAAAAAGUAUACACUUCAUACCACAAAUCCUACAUCCCGCAGUGGAAAUAUAUAGUUGUAUACAGGAAACAAAAGUAAACAUGUCGAUGCAUUAUUUUUUAUGCAUGCUUACCCACGAGCAAAGGAAAAACUGGAAGCUCAAGAGGCUUCUCUUGUGCUCCAACCAUCACUAGCUUUCCGUGAGACUUCAACAAACCAAUCAAAGGCAAUAGAGGGUGGACUGCAGAAACCGUGUCAAUGAUACCAUCCAAUGUGCCCAUGGCAGCCUAAAAAAUCCACACAAAAAAUAAAAAUAAAAACAAGAAAACGGUCAGUCACCCCUACACACUUCAAAUCAACUUGAAUCACUACACAAACUUGUUUAAAUUAAUAAUCAUCUUACCUGCAUUUGAUCUUCAUCGUGGCUGACCAAAAACGAAUCAGCACAGAGAUGUUCAAUUGCUUCAUCCUUCUUAUUAGGGGAGGUACUGAUGACAGUCACCUUAACCCCCAUAGCCUUAGCAAACUUGACAGCCACAUGGCCUAGACCGCCUAAACCCACCACACCCACAUGCAUACCGGGUUUGUCAAGUCCGAAAUAUCUCAAAGGGCUGUAAGUUGUAAUCCCCGCACAUAGGAGAGGAGCCGCUCCAUCAAGGGGAAGGGUUUCUGGGAUACGGACUACAAAGUGCUCAUUGGCGACCAUGAUGUCAGAGUAACCUCCAUAUGUGGGGGUUCCGUCGUAGUACUUGGCACCAAAAGUGAUUAUCCAUUCGGGGCAGUAAUUUUCAAGAUUGUUGGUACAAUUUUCACAAGAUGUACAUGAUCCCACCAUGCUUCCAACACCUACCUUGUCUCCGACAUUGAAUUUUUGUACUUUGCUCCCUACAUCUGUCACUACACCAACAAUUUCAUGUCUGCAUUGUCCAGUUCACAUUCCAUUAGUUUUGGAUACCAAAUCCAAAUUCAGAUACUUACAUGUGUUCAUUCUACAAUGUACUAUUUGACAUCAGUACUUGUAGCAUUUAAAAUGAAAGUUUAGUAUGUACCCGGGAACCAAUGGAUAGGUAGAAAUUCCCCAGUCGUUCUUGGCCAUGUGAAGGUCCGAAUGACAUAUCCCACAGUAUAACACUUUGAACAUCACAUCUUUCUCGCCCGUUUCUCUGCAACCAAAAGAAUGCAAUUUUUAGAGAACAUAUAAAAGCAUUGAUUAAACAAGAAUUUGAUGAGGAAGUUUGGAUUAAUAUUGACCUUCUUGAGAAUUUGAAGGGAGAGAAAAUGCCAGAUGAAUCCCUGGCAGCCCAACCAAAGGCUUUCUUGGGAUGUUCUCUUUCUGCAGACAUCACCAUUUUUCCCUUGAUUAAUUUGUAUCUGAGCUUUGGCCAGUAGAACGACUGAGAGGGAGAGAGUGGGAAUUGCUAGAUUUGGGGAGGGGCUGGGUGCUAUUUAUAUGUAUAUGGAGUUUGGCUGGGAUGACGUACCGGAUGAGCGAAAUCGUAAGUCAAAAGCGGGUCUUCUAAAUAUUCCAUUUCUUUCUGAACUUUCCACAUGGUUUGCUGACGUCAUCCCAUUGCAUUGCGUAAUGGCUUACCCUGAUGCCGAUCUCCAUUUAAAAUUUGCCUGACCCCUAAUCAAAUGUUUGAAAUCUUCAAUUUGAGUUCGAAAUCCGUUGAAUAGUUUGGGAUCAUCGAAUAUAUUUUGACGUGUUAUUCGACUUGAGAAGUAAAAAUUAUCUGUCAUCUUAUGUUGUACCGAAAAUAUAUAAAAGAAGAAAUCAAUCCAUUACUAAAACACGGUAAGACUUUCUAUAUUAAAAGAAUAAUAAUAAUAAUAAUAAUAAUAAUAAUAAUAAAGUCAUCAUGCAAAGAGCCUAUCCUUCCACAAUAGUAUGUUGAGGAAUGUGGAACUCCUGGUGGCAGCAUUAUGCAUAAUCCAUUUCCCCUAAAUUUGCUGCUUUUAUGGGUACUUUUUAAUUUGGAUUUACCAAAUUAAUUUCUAGAUAAAUUAUUCUAUUCCCUCUUAAGUAGAUAUCAAAAAGUGAAUCAAUGAUUAUUACCACAAGUGGCUAGUUAGCAUUUUUCAUUCUUGAUGGACAGUGGAGGACCGUUGAAAUUCUUCGAUAUAAAGCUGGACUCUUUGGUUAGUGAUAACUGUGGUCGAAAAGAGAAAAAGAAAACGAAGAGGGAGGUAGGAGUUCUCAAAUUGAUGUGCUUAAAGAUCCAAUUCAAGUUAAAAGGAAAUGAGCGUCGAAAACAAGUACAAAAGAGAAGCUAAGUCAAUAUUAAAGACACACCAGUGGUAAGUAGAAUUGUCCACGUCCAAACACAGGUAUGCAACGAAAUUAAUUACCGAUUAUGCUUUGCCUCACAAUAUAUUAGUGGUAGUAAUAUUUAAAACAACUUUGGAUUGUUUUGUAAUUGUCUAGGUCUUGCACGACUGAACUCGAAGAACACACAGAGGGCACUUCAAAAUAAAUAAAAUUAAUAUUAAUGUAUAAGUAUGAAAAAUGUGAAAGCAUAUAUAAAUGCUCGUAAUUGCAUCCUCUACGCUUAAAUGAUGGUUACAUGAUCGUUUAUGACACACCCCGGCCCGGAAUGUCGACUUGGACUUCGAAUCGAGCUGUGUUUGCCGACACCUGGAAGGUGAUGAAGCCAUAAAGUGUAGUGAUGUGGAAAAUGUGUAUAAACUUAAACCUAAAAGUGCCUAAAUACAAGAGUGCGAUGUGAGCGAGAAUAAACCCAUUUCACACGUAAUAUCAGAGCAUAAGUAAAGUACAGUAAAGUAGGAUGAGAAUCGUACCAUUGAAGGUAACCAUCUAUACCAAGAUUUGCUAAGAAUCCUCGUCGACACGAAAGUUCAGCCACUAAAACCUGGAGGGGCGAAAAACAAGAGUAUGUGGGCUUGAAAAUAAAGCUUUGUGAAAACCUUUUUGAAAACAUAAUAAUCCCUCGCCAUAAAACAAGUAUAGUUUCCAAAAUAUACAUACUACAUAUAGUAUGAAAAUACUUACCAAAGUCAGCAGUAUCUCAAGAAUGCAAUACAUCAUAAACUUUCGUAAAUAAAUGCAGGACGUCCGUAAGUGCAUAAUCUCGCAUAAGAAAACAUAUCAUAACGAAUGCAAAUCGACACAUGCUGACACACAAAUUCAUGUAGAGAUAUUCUGACAUGAACAAGACUGGGUGUAACAAUGACAUAUGCUCUUGUACUACAAUCAUGUGAAGACAGGCACUAUGCGCAACACAUAUGAGUCCUACUUACGUAUAGCAAUCUAGGACAGGACUGGCACCUACAAUGCAUCCAAAGUGAGUGUACAGUGCGAUGUGCAUAUACACGUAAAAGUUUGGCCCUGGCCCGGGCGAGUACUGACACUAGUGCAGCAAACGAUGAGCAAAUAACAUACAUGUAGUCAUGCCACAGUGAUUCGAUAACUCCAGUCAAGAUUAUAUUAUUCAUGAACAUAAAUAUAAUUAAGGCAUCCCCUAAUUGUAAGCUUACCUAAGCAUCCCAUAGGAUUAUUUCAUACUUUCCCAACAAUGAGGCAUUUCUUAUGAACGUUAAUUUAAUUAUGGCAAUCACAUAGAUAAUUCAUUACUAGAUGUAUAGAUGGAAACUAAAGAAAUAUAUGUAUAUAUAAAAAAAAAGACCCACUCACAAUUCAUGUUGUCGAGUUGAACUCGCCUCGUAGUAUCAAGAGUCCUUGCAAUUCGUUUCGCCUAGAAACGAAACCAUUUAUGUAAAUACUUAACGUACUAAUGUAUAAACGCAUUUUUGUACAAAGUACGGCAAAUAAAUGAACUAUUUUAAAAUGAUUGAAUUUCGGAAAAUGGACAGCGGAUUCGGGUUCAUUACGUCGAGAAACCUAAGGAAGGACCUCGGGUUCCUCCAUGCACCGCCGCACAGGCCGCCAAAAGCGGCUGCACAUGCAGCUAUGCGCCACACGCGCCGACCACCCUCAUGCGUCUACGCGCCUGCGAGUACGAACGUACUCGCCUUUUUCGCGAAGCACAGGUUCGGCCUUGUUUUUGGGCCAACUUUCAGAGCUAAUAUCUAGCUCAAUUCACCACUAAAAUUAAUGAUUCAAAAGCCAUUUUGAAGUUAGGAAUGUAGGGAACAAAACCAUACAAAGUGAGGCCGAGUUAUUGUCGGCGUUGGCUAGAAAGAUGAUCUAAAAGUGGCCAAAUGGUGACGGGGUCUUGCUAAAAAUCUGGGGAAUUUCUUCCCCCGUGUCAGUUUCGUUAUAAACCUUCACCAAAACGCCUGAGAUGGGUCGUAACUAGGUUCUGAUCGAUCUAAAAUGAAGGUUAGAGAGAGUCUCGUGGCUUACCUAUGUCAAAAAAGGCGAAACUCGCUGGAAAAUCCCUUGAAUAAUGACGAUGCAAUAGUGCAGUUUUGUGUCCCAUGGCUGGGUUGAGUUAGACAUCCAUGAAUAUGGCUUUCUAGGUUUGAGGAUCUGUAAAUCUUUUCAGGAUGGUGAGUUUGAUGGCAAGUGGUUUAUGACCGCUAGUUCUCUGUGUUUACAGAGAAGGAAAUGAAGUGAGAUGAGAGUGUUUCAAAGAAAGAAAAUAAGGAAUAAAAAAGGGAAAAUAUAAGUAGAGGUGGUGGUCUGGAAGGGUGGUGAGAUUGCUCCUGAUCUUUUGGUCUCUCUGUUUUCAGAGAUGAAUAUGGUGAUGAGGGGGAAAGCUGACAAAGAUGAGGAAGUUAGAGAGAGUUAGGUGAGAGAGAUGAGAGAUAAAAGGGAGAGGAGUGAAGAGAGAGAGGUUCCGGAUUGUGGAGAAAUUUUUAGUUGUGACAGGAACAUGGAUGGUACACCACUUGUUUUUAUGCAAGUGGUGGAAAAUUUUAAUUUUUAAGUUAUUAACCUUUUAACACACAUAACUCAUCAUUUAUAUAAGAACACGUGGUGUACCAUCUUGUGUGACGGUCACACUGAAAAAUCUCUCGGAAUUGUGGGGAAAAGAACAUACGGGAGAGGUUGGGAGUCAAUAUAGGCCCCACAAGCUUUAAAAAUCUAAUAAUAAAAUAAAUAUAUAAUAAUAUAAAUUUGAAUAAAUAAAUAAAAUAUACAAUAGUAAUAUUUACAAAAAGUAUUUUUCGGAUUCGUAGUCAGUAAAACCUUCAUCAUAACUCCAAUUUCGAUUAUGCUCAAGCCUAUGUGUUCAUGCCGUCAAGUACUUCAAGAAUAUGUAAAUUAAUAGCCCAUAAGCGUCAUGAAAAGAUGGUCAAUGAAAGUCAAUGCCCUCACCUCUAAGGGCAUUUUCGUCAAUUCACACUUUAAAAUUUAUAAAAUUAGGGACGGGUUGUCACAAUCUACCCAUCUUAAAAGAAAUUGUCGCCGAAAUUUGAAAUCAUUUGCUAUACAUAAUAUAUUCCAAAAGGUAGGAAGAAAGUAUAUAUAAGGAAGGAAUCAAGCUAGAGCGAUUGCAUAAAAUAGAAUGUCAUACUGUCGCGGUCAGAUUGCAAUGAUUCCUCUUUCAUGCCUCCAAACUCAAACUUUUAUUCUCCUUUAGUACAAUACUAUAACAUACUGCUUUUAUAAAAACAUAAAAUCGAAAAUAUUUAUAUAUGUAUAAUAAUAUCCCGUCAAAAUACAUAUAUAAUAAUGUAAAUUUAAAGUAAUUGUACUGAAAUUAAAAAUGAAAAUAGAAUAUUUUUCACCUACGCACUCAUUGCGUCACAUACUCCGAAGGUAAGUGUGUAGUAUCCUUAGGUCAAGCCAAAACAAUAAAAAAAUAACUAAAAGUGCAAACGUAAAAGGACUUACAUGUCCACUUGCUUAACGAACUCAACGAAUAAGUUAUUGGUAUUACGGUCUGCGGCCCACAAUACCGACGACUCACUGUUGUCUCGAUAAGCAAGUACCAAAUUCCUGAGGGUCCAAUAUUACCAUUAUGCCCCCUAUUGGGAAAUACACAUACAAUGUCUUAUCAAAGUCUCGAUCGUGCUCACGUACUACCCUAUCGGGCAACAUCAUCAAUAUUAUAAAAUUUUCUAUAUCGUAAUCUCGAUCAUUCAACUACUUGUUCGCAAUACUCACCUGUCAAACAUGUAUUGUGCAUAAAGUCUCCAUACAACGUUUCAAACAAUGCCAUACCCAAAAUUGAAAAUUCUAACCGUAGUUACACAUAACUCUAACAGAGAUAGGUGUCAGUGUUAAACAAACUAAGAUUGUAGAACGAAUAAACGCAAUAUGUACACUAAGGUCUGAGUAGUUCAUUAAGACUAACCAUUAGUCUAAGGAUGAAAUGUGGUACUGGAUAACAACUUUGUACUCAUAGCCUUCAAGAAGACUUCCUUAGGCUUGGAAGUGAAACACAUAUCACGAUGAGGUACAACAGUGACAUGCAUACCAUGAAAUCGAACAAUGUAGUUAACAAUGCCUUAACGAGUGGUUUCAUAUUGAAUUUCCCUUGGAUUUAGCAAAAACAAAGUAACUGGAGUGAAUGCAUGACAUCUCGCUACAACGGUAGCUUUCGGAUAAUCAAUCACCAAUGGUCAAGAUUCGUUCAGCAGAACAUUCGUUGGGUGAUUGAGGAAUUAAUGAUAACACUAAAAUUUAAGCUUCGAACGAUUCUCCUAGACAGUAUGUCUGCUUUAGAAACAAUACGAAGUUCAGUAGGGUAGGCAUGUACCCAAGGUUGACUGGAAUGCCUUCUAACACAAGGGGUGAAUAUAGAAUCACAAUCAGAAUAGGUGCGGAUCGAAACAUUAGAAAAUCUAAUAAAUUCAAGAAAGAAGAAUUUUACCGAGUGGUCUGAAAUGUGGUCACUCUGGACCAACGAAAAGUGAGUAGACUUGUCAAGUCGGUCGAUAAACACCAAAACAUCAUCAUAAUCUCCACAUGUACAAGAUGCCUCAUACAGAAAGCUUAUGGUGAUAUUCCCUCAUCUCCAUUUGGAUAUAGGAAGUGGUCAUAACCACUCGAACGAUUCCUUGAUGAUUAAGAAAUAACGUCAAAUCGAUGCUCGUGAACUCUAAUUGGAAUAGGAUAAGAAAGGCUAAAGAUGUUCAAGGGUAGAUAUGUCUUUUGUUGAUGUAACAGUAAUUACGUUUGCACGAUCGGGGUAAUACACGAUAGUGCGAUCGUAGACAUUAGUUUAGUUUUUCCAUCGUCGCUGUCAGAAAUUUAGCUAUUUCCAAAAGAAAGUAUAUUUGAGAAGUUUAUGAGGUUGGUGAAGAUUUUGGACAUGUUUCUCCAUAGAGAAGUGUCAUACGGUUUCCUAAGGAAGAGGAUAACUAUUGAUUUUAGGUCAUGUAUAUGAUGGUUCAUUUCGAACGGUUCUAACCGUUGGAUAAUAUAAGUGAUACUCCGUCAUGUUGCCUAUGCACAGUCGAAACAUCCAGGGAAAAACGUCAUCGUGGAUUUCCAAAAUGAUCAAUGUCAUCGAAAGGUAUAAAACAAAGGUGAGGUGAGACAACAGUUCAGUUGUCAGAACCUUUAUUCAUAAUCAACAUCACAACUAAACUAACUUUCCUCGAUUUAUAUGCGAAGAAAAACACUAUAACAAAUUGUCGAUAGAAUCGACAAGAAUAAGAAUGUCUCUCAUUUCACAACACUUUGUGAAAUAUUCCAACUUCCUUCUGCUACAAUCUUUUGGGAAAAAGAAAAGAUUAUUGUUUACACAGAUUACGUCUCCCAAGAAAAGUAUCAAUCUAAACAAAGGUAACAUUUGAGGAAUUUGGUAUAAAGUUGUCUACCGGUAUAUAGAGAAUAUAUUUCGUUGCUGGAGUAGGUAAGAAGGUUGUGGACAAGGCUACUACAAAUUUAUUAAGUUAUGUAAGAAAACUCAGGUUCCAAAAGUUGGUUGAAGAGACCGUCAACUCAAAGUAGGGCUAACGGUUUUUUGUCAUCACCUGAUUGAGUCACUAAAAUCUAGAUACGAUCCUAAGGGUCGGCCUUUCGCCUUCAUGGAUGAGUUUGAGGUUCCCAAGAGAAGCUAUUUAGUUGGGUGAAUUCCUAAUCGGUAAGCCUUUGUAACUAAGUCAUCUCAAAGAUGCAGGAGUCGCUCGGUAAGAUGCAAGGAGAAUAGGUGUUGUAUUAGAAAAUAGGUCGAUGGUGUACUUCACUUCACCAUUUAGUGAGACCCCAAGUAGAAUUAUGAGAAAUGACGCUAGAGAUGUACGUCCUUGAUACGUACCAUACUACUUCCUUUCAAUGUGCCACGUGAUAAUAGGUCUUCACAGCUUUCUCUAUACUCAAUUCGCUCUUACAGUGGAAAUUCAACUUGUGCUCACUUAUAAUGUUUGUCUAUGGAGGUGAUUAGAAAGAUGAUUGGUCGAGAAGGUUCUAGUUACUUAAAUGGGUAAAAAAUGGUUAACACCAGUGCGAGUUUACAAUCCUUCUACAAGGCUUACUCCUAUGUUUCCAAGAUUUAUUUUCUUUGGCUCAGGUAGUCACUGUUAAUCAGUUUAUCAGUCGCAUCACUAAUUAAUGCAUAUAUGAUACUUUUGAUAUUUUUGAUAUUAUUCGUUACCCUGAAAUUGCAAACCGGGGUUCUGACAUAAAGGUAUCACUCCCAGAUACUAAUACAUGUGUUCGGUAUCAGAAAUCAUACCGCCUGAACACUGGUUGACAAUUCCUGGAUAUCGGACAGUAUCAUCAAUUAGUAGCGCCACAAUAGGCUGACUACAGAUUAAAGCCUGUUAAUGUGAUUAGUUUCGGAUGAUUGGUAAGGAAAUGAUCCUAUGAGUUGGUUUUUUUUUAUUCUAGGGAAAAUACUUGCUAAACGGGGAUUUCUACUAACUGUAGGUAUAACAACUCGUACUAUCAUGCCUAUACUCAUCGAAAUGACGAGUACAACAUCAAAUGAAUUAUGGGAACUAGUAUUGGUUGAGACGCCCUAAGGCCGGAAAAUAAAUUGCUAAUCACUUACUUUAGAAUGUGUCUAAAAGAUUCGAUCUUCCUUCAAAAGAUCUAGAAUUAUAACUAGUGCGUUUGAGAAGAUUAAUGUUAUUGAGAGCCAAAAGUGGUUGUUCCCCUAAAUGUUCUUCUGUCGAGUGCUACCACUUUAGCACCAAGUUGUCGCUCAAAACAUUUGUGGAAUCUCGACGAAAGCAAAUUUCGUAGAAAUUCUAAUAUGUGGUAUUCUAAUGGAUACUGCCAAGGAAUCAAAACCGUUUUUUGAUUUCAAAUCUCAAAAGGUUUGGUAAUGAUGGAGUGAGAAUAAUGGUAGGAUUGAGUGGUAAGUCUCUAGUGAUACAAAACUAUUGAUACAUUAGCGCUGCUUUAGGGUCAUCAACUUGUCUCUAUUCAGGAUUUUUCCUUGGCAGAGAGGUUCUUUGUUUAAAUCUAGAGGCGUUCACCAAAACGAUAUUUUAGAAUGUCGAUAAGUCGUUUAAGUCACUCAAAACUUAGAAAAACUUAACACAUUUUUCGUGCUCGACGAGGUGGCAAGAUUCGUAAAUUAGGCUCAAGAGCCGACAAUGCUUACAUCAUGUGUGUGAUGAACGCAAUACUUCCUAAACUUAUGGUUUGAUACCAAACUGACACACCCUGACCCGAAAUGUCCACUAGGACUCCGAAUCAAGCUGUGUUGGCCGACCUGGAAGGUGACGAAGCCAUAAAGUGUAGUGAUGUGAAAAAUGUGUAUAAACUUAAACCUAAAAGUGCCUAAAUAUAAGAGUGCAUUGUGAGCGGGAAUAAACCCAUUUCACACGUGAUGUCAGAACAUAAGUAAAGUACAGUAAUGUAGGAUGAUAAUCGUACCAUCGAAGGUAACCAUUUAUACCAAGAUUUGCCAAGAAUCCUCGUCAACACGAAAGCUCAGCCACUAAAACCUGGAGGGGCAAAAAACAAGGGUGAGUAGGCCUGAAAAUAAAGCUUUGUAAAAAUCUUUUUGAAAACAUAAUAACCCUUUGCCAUAAAAUAAGUAUAGUUUCCAAAAUAUACAUACUACAUAUAGUAUGAAAAUACUUACCAUAGUUAGCAGUAUCUCAAGAAUGCAAUACGUCAUAAACUUUCGUAAAUAAACACAUGACGUCUGUUAGCGCAUAAUAUCGCAUAAGCAAACAAAUUAUAACGAAUGCUAAUUGACACAUUCUGACACACGAGUUCAUGCAGAGAUAUUUUAGCAUUAACAGGACUGGGUGUAACAAUGACAUACGUUCUAGUACUACAAUCAUGUGAAGAUUGGUGCUAAGCGCAGCACAUACGAGUCCUAAUUGCCUAUAGCAAUCUAGGACGGGAUUGGCACCUACAAUCAAUCCAAAGUGAGCAUACGGUGUGAUGUGCACAUACACGUGAAAGCUUGACCCUGGCUUAGGCGAGUACUAACACCGGUGCAACAAACGAUGAGCAAAUAACAUAAAUUUAGUCAUGCCACAGUGAUUCGAUAACUCUAGUCAACAUUACAUUAUUCAUGAAAAUAAAUAUAAUUAAGGCAUCCCAUAACUGUAAGCUUACUUGAGCAUCCCAAAGGAUUAUUUCAUACUUUCUCAACAAUAAGGCAUUUCUUACGAACAUUAAUUUAAUUAUGGCAAUCACAUAGAGAAUUAAUUACUAGAUGGAAUAUGGAAACUAAAUAAAUAUAUGUAUAUAUCACAGAAAAGACACACUCAUAAUUCAUGGCGUCGAGUUGAACCCGCCUCAAAGUAUCAAGAGUCCUUAGGAUGUGUUUCGCCUAGAAAUAGAACCUUUUAUAUAAAUACGUAACGUACUAAUGUAUAAACACAUUUUCGUACAAAGUACGGCUAAUAAACGAGUCGAACCCGCCACAUGAGCCGCCAUAAGUAGCUGUAUAGGCAACCAUGCGCCGAUCACCCUCACGUGUCCACGCGCGCCCACGCGCCUACAAGUACGAAGGUACUUGCCAUCUUUACGAAGCACAGGUUCGGCCUAGUUUUUGGGCCAACUUCUAGAGCUAAUAUCUAGCUCAAUUCACCACCAAAAUCAAUGAUUCAAAUGCCAUUUUAAAGUUAGGAAUGUAGGGAACAAAACGAUACCAAAGUUAGGUCGAGUUAUCGUCGGCGUUAGCUGGAAAGAUGAUAUGAAAGUGGCUUGGUCACGAGUUCUUGCUGAAAAUCUAGGGAAUUUCCUCCCUCCCUCAUGUCAGUUUUAAUAAAAUAUAUUUUUCUUAACGGGUAACAGGUCAGGUCAUAUUAUUUGACAAUAUUAACAAGUCGAUUUCGGGUUGGGUCAUUUUACCCAUUUACUUUAACGGGAAUUACAUGACACGAUCCGUUAAGCUAUCGAAUAUAACACGAAAAUGACACGAACACUAGAAACACGACACGAAUGUCAGGUCUAGUGAUAUAAGGUAAAAGUGAAUGGGGAUUGGGAGGUAAGAAUCUGGAUCCUUGCCAAAUCUUCUUUGUGAGGGUCCCGGGACCCGUGAAUCGUGUCCAUUCAUUGUACAUCAUGCGGUUAGAAAUCAUUUUAAAUAUUUUCAUUUAAAAUUAAACAUAAACAGACCUGACAAAAAAAUGAUCGCACGAUAUACGAUAAACGGACACGAUUGAUGGAUCCUUCAGAUUCUCACUAAAAGGAUUCGGAGAGGAUCCUGUUGGGAGAGGCAAAAGUGAAUGGGGGAUUGGGAAUUAUUAAUUACCCAUUGGGGGGUGUGUAAAGAAAAUUUGAUUGGGAUUAUUAAAAGAGAGGGUCACGUGCUUUUCUAAGAUGUCAUGUGUAUAGCCCAAGUCAUAUAAUAGGAAAACAAACUUCUUCGUUAUCUAUUUGCAAUUUCUAGGUGGCCUCAUUACCGGCUCAGAGUCCAUCAAUCAUUGUUGUAUCAGCUCAAAUCCAUCAUUCUUUGCUGCAACGGUGCAAGUUCAUCAUACUUUGCACAGGCUACAACAUUUGUAUCACUACUAGAAAAUGUGCUAUAGGGCACCGAUUUGAGGGCACCAUUCUCUAUCAGUGGCUUUGUAAAUGUAUGUGUCACUAUUGUUUGAAUUUGGUGCCUUAAACCUUUUUAACACCAUUCAUUGGUGUCAACUGUAAAAAUUUUGACACCAAAGUCAUAUUGUUUGGUUUUUUAACUUAGGAUUCAGUUUUGCUCUCCUAUUUUUUGUCAAAAAUAGUUUUAUAUUCAUUUAAUAGUUGUAAACUUUCCUAGUUUAAGUAUGAUUGUGUAAAUCCUAUAUUAGAUUUUAUUCUAGUUAUCCUUUCCUAUUACAACUUGUAUUACUUGGGGAAGAAGGAAUAUCUUCUCUCCUUUUACUACUAUAAAUAAAGGCACAAUGUAAGAGGGAUAAUAACACACAUUCCCCUAGAAUUCUAUAAACACAUCUCCUUCUAUUUCUCUUCUCAUUGUCGCCGGCCCUAUUCCCUUUAAAUAGGCUACAACACGUUAUCAGCACGCUCCUACCUCUGCGAUUAGGAAUUUGACGUUGAAGAAUAUUUUCUGCAUCAAACCAGUUCAUCCAUAUCAUCAUGCAAUCAGGUUCUUUCAAAACAACGGUUUUUAUCUCGAUAUUUUUGCAGCCUUGAUAGCAUGAACAUUCACCAUAAUCCAUGACCUAAUUUUAUGUUUUUAGAAUUUUAGAUUCUACAUAAAUUGUGUAUACAUUAUAUUCAUAAUUAUUGAAUUAUGUGAAUUUGAUAUUUGCCAUGAAUUGCAUCAAAUAUAUGUACAUGCCUUUUACUAUUGAAUCGAAUAUGCUUUGAAUUGAAUUAUAUAAAUUGAAAAAAAAAAUUGAUUAGGAAAGCUAGGGUUCUUUGAACCCGUGCCCUACAAUAUCUCAUCCAUGGCGAUGGGCCAGACCAUGCAAGCCCAGCCCAAUACUGAACACUAGUCGCAAGCCUUGAACUGAAACGAUGCGCUUGAGGCACCACCGUCCCGACCCACGGCCUAAAGCCCAGGUCUCCUAUGUCGGUUUUCCAACGAAACACAACUGGCAUUUGUGAAAAUUGGACAACACCCAUCGUUUUUCAUAACGAUUUCUCGAAAUUCUAGAAGAAUUUUGUUUUUUUUUUUUCGAAUUCAAUUGAAUUCAUUCGGUUUUCUCUCCCUCGAUGUUGAGAUUUCAUCUCCAUUGACAAAUACUUGGUUCUCCGAUGAACCAUGGCUUCCCUAGACUUGGAAAUAUCGUCUGACAUAGCGCCUUCAACUAAUUCCGGCAUUAUUCCCCGGCAAAGCACACCCAGCACGCGCUAGGCUGUGCUUUUGGUCCAACAACAUAGCCCUUUGGGCUUUGGUUCUUCACGAACCAAUCUAAAACCAAAACUUGGUUUUGGGUUUGUAUGCCAAAGCCCGCUACAAUCCCUUCUCUCAGCCUGAAGCGGGUUGUGUGCAAUUUUUUGGAGGGCUCACUUUUAGCUGCUCGACCCCUUUUUCCUCUCACCGUGGGCCUACAAUCCUACCCGAGACAAAACCCAGCCCACCCUAGGGCCUAGGAUGCAAGGCACCAUUUUUCUUAAGCCACCCGUGGGCUUAGUUUUUUUCUUUUGGGCCAUGAGUUUUAUUCUCCUAAUUAUUUUAGGCCUAAAUGGGUUUUAUAUUUUUCCAUCCAAGGGAAGAAACAAAGCCUAGAAGUGCCCAAACCUUGCUCCCAAGGCCCCAAACUUCAAGAAUAAGGGUAAAGCAGCUGAAACCAUAGAUGCAGACAUGUGCUAUCGAUGUGGUUCAAAUGACCAUUGGUCCCGUGUUUGCUGAGCUCCCAAGAAGGUUGUAGAUGAAUAUCAUUCUCGUCGCAAGAAGUUUGAAUCAAAUUUCGUGUAAGUGGAAAAACCGGAGACUACAAAGAUGGAGGUUUCUAACUUUCAAGACCAUACCACCACUAUGGAAGAUUAGAAUCUUAGACAUAGACUUAUUUUUCAGUUGAAUUAAGACAAUGGGGCCGAAUUCCACCUGUUGGGGAACCCAUUCUUUGUUUUUGGUUACUUUUUGAACAAUUUUCCUUUUAUAUUUGGAUUAUUUGUUGGUGAUUUGUUUUUGGAUAUUAAGUUUUAAUUAAUUACCAUCCUUGAAUAAAUGAAAUAAUUUUGAAUUGAUAUUGUUUUUAGAACUUUUAUGCAUGUGACCAGUUCAAAUUAAUUUUUCAUUCUAGGUAUGACUAGUGGGGAAGUUAGUUGUUUGGUAAAUAGUGCAACCACGCACACAGUUUUACGUGAACUCAUCUAUUUCACUAACUUCAUACCUAAGAAUGCACCUCUGACAACCCUCUCAGGCCCAUUCAACCUGAUUGAAGGAUACGAUAAGACACAUAUAAUGUUGUCCAAUGGUACAAUCUUGACCAUUUCCGAGGCACUCUAUUCUCCACUUUCUGAAAGAACGUUGUUGAGUUUCAAGGACAUUAAAGAUAACAAAUACCACGUUGAAACCCACGUAGAAAAUAGAGUUGAAUUUUUAUGCAUAACUUCCUACGAAUGCAGCCAGAAGCGUAUUCUAGAGAAGAUAGAGCAUAUUCUAGAGAAGAUAGAGCGUAUCCUAAGUGGUUUGUAUACUACGACCAUACACCCCAUCGAAUGCCACUAUGUGGUUGGCCCUACUACUGGGACUGCGCAUGAAAUUACACUUUGGCAUGGUCUUUUGGGACAUGACGAAUAGCGAUGCGCCGUAUCCUCAAAUCUUCACACGGACAUCCACUAACCCGAAGUUUAGGUUCGAUCCAAGGAAUCACAUGUCAAACAUGUUCAAUGGAAAAGCUUAUUACUAAGCCUUCUUAUGACAAGAUUUGUUCGAAUCCUCCCAUUUUUCUACAACAAUGUAUUCAGGGGGACAUUUAUGGACCACAAUUCACCCUCCCUGCGGACUAUUUAGAUACUUUAUGGUUUUGGUUGAUGCUUCUACAUGUGGGUCACUCGUGUGCUUGUUGUCCACAAGGAACGCUGCAUUCUCCAAACUGUUGGCUCAGGUUAUUAAGCUCAGUGUUCACCACCUUGAUUACCCAAUCAAAUCUAUUCGAUUGGAUAAUGCUGGAGAAUUCACAUGUAAAACUUUUAAUAACUAUUGCAUGACAGUUAGGGUUGAAGUUGAACAUCAUGUACCCCAUGUUCACACCCAUAACAGCCUGGCAGAGGCUUUCAUUAAGCGCUUACAAAUGAUUGCUCGAUCGUUGGUCAUACGUACCAAGCUUUUGAUCGUUACUUGGGGCCAUGCAAUAUUGCACGCAGCGAAGUUAGUCCGUCUGAGGCCUGUUGCAACACAACCAUUUAGUGCCCUUCAAUCCGUUACCAAAUACGAACAUAACAUAUCGCAUCUGCACAUAUUUGGUUGUGCGGUAUAUGUGCCCAUCUUGCCGCCCUUACAUACAAAAAUGGGGCCUCAGUGAAGGAUGAGAAUCUAUGUCGGAUAUGAUUCUCUUUCGAUUAUUCGUUACUUAGAACCUUUGACAUGAGAUCUGUUUACCUCUCAUUUCACGAAUUGUCACUUUUAUGACACAGUUUUCCCAACGUUAGGGGGAGAUAAAAAUGUUCCUGAAGAACAACACGAAUUAUCAUGCACGACUCCCACUUUGUGUCAUUUAGAUCCCCGCACCGCUCAAUAUGAAAUUGAAGUGCAACGCAUAUUAGAUCUCCAGAGCAUAUCUUAGAGCAUGUCAGAUGCUUUCGCCUAUCUAACGCUCAUGACAAGAUCACAUAUUCCAGCUGCGAAUACUCCUGCAAAGAUGGAUGUACCAAAUGUACGAGGGACUUCCUUCCUGGAGACCUGGGACGCCAAUAUUGGUGAUCCACGUACAUUAGUGACUAGCCAAUCAUCUACCCUUACACAAAAGUGUGGCAGGCCCCUUGGUUCAAAGGAUUCACACAUUUUCAAGAGGAAACCCACGACACAAGGUCUCGAAGAGCCUACCAUGAAUCUGACUAUCGCUUACUCUUUCUAUCUAACUCAUGACGAAAUUCUAGUUUAUGAAGGCGUCCUUGAAAAAACGAAUCCUCCUCUCGAGAAUAGUGAGAUUUCGGUCUAUUAUGCUAGCUUAGAUGAUGCGUGGUGUAGAAAUGAGAUGAUUGUUGACGAUGCAUUAGCAUUUGUAGUAGCUACUGUGAUCAUGUUAAGCGAUGACAUUGAACCGCGUUCCGUUGAUGAAUGUCGAUGUAAAACUGAUUGGUCAAACUGGAAACAAGUAAUCCAAGUUGAACUUGAUUCGCUUGUGAAACGUAAAGUGUUUGGACCUGUAGCUCAUACUCUUCCACAUGUGAAGCCCGUUGGGUACAAAUGGGUUUUAGUUUGGAAGGGUAAUGAGAAGAAGGAAAUUGUGCGUUAUAAAGCUCGUCUUGUUGCACAAGGCUUCUCACAACGCCUCGGGAUUGACUAUGACAAAACUUAUUCACCUGUUAUGGAUGUGAUUACUUUUCGCUACCUUAUCAGUUUGGUAGUUUUUGAAAAACUGGAUAUGUAGCUGAUGGACGUUGUAAGCGCGUAUCUCUAUGGGGAUCUUGAUAUGAAAAUCUAUAUGAAAGUUCCCAAAGGACUUACAUUGACUGGUUCAAAUAUUUCCAAACCCGGAACACGCUCUCAAUUCGGCUGAGACAUUCAUUCUACGGUUUGAAGCAAUCUGGAAGAAUGUGGUAUGCAGAGGAGGAGAUGAGAGAAUGCAGAGAGAGUCUGUCUGAGUGUGUGAGAGAGAAAACACAGAGUCAUUUGAGAGAUAAGAGAGAGUGUGAGGUCUUUUAGCCAACGGUUGAGAUUUAAUGUCAACCGAAUCCAACGCUAAUCUCAAUCGAAUCCAACACUUAUGGUUUAUUCAAGUAUAUAUAAUAUAUACUUUUAGGGUUUGAUAACUUUGUAUUUUAUAUAGAUGUGAAAAUAUAUAUGUAAUAAUACUAUUAAUGUUGUAGCCUAUUUUAUCUGUCAAAAGGAAUAGGGCCGGCAUGAAGGAGAAGAGAAAUAGAAAGAGAUGUGUUUGUAGAAUUGUAGGAGAAUGUGUGUUGUUAUCCCUCCUACAUUGUGCCUUUAUUUAUAGUAGUAAAAAGAGAGAAGAUAUUCCUUCUUCCCUAAGUAAUACAAAUUGUAAUAGGAAAGGAUAACUAGAAUCAAAUCUAUCUAGGAUUUACAUAAUCACACUUAAACUAGGAAAUUUUACAACACUCCCCCUUGAGUGUGUAAAUACUCAAGGUAGAUUCAGCGUCAUGCAGAAGUUGACGAAGUCGACUCGUCAGCACUGAUUUUAAGGAACACCGCUUAUUCUCAAUAAGGUAGGAACUUGCAUAAGUAAAUGAGUCUCACUAAAAACCCUAAAGCUAUGGUAAAAACCCGAGGAGGGACAAAAUCCAUAGUCUAAGGAAAAAUGUGUGAGAAAUGCAAAGUCAAAAGAAAUGUCUACGAGACAUCAUCAGGGAUAUGACCAGCCCAAGGUGGGUGCCUCGUUAAAACCUAGUUAGGUAGCAAAAACCCAGUGGGAAAAUGCUCCUAAUCGUAGGGAAAAAGAGUACAUUAAGAUCAAGCAAGUAUCUUCAGGAUACUCUCUUUGAGUUUAACACAGUUCCAAAGAGAAAUAGCAAUGUUACAACUCAGAAAGUUUACACAUGCCAAUUCCAUGAACAAACAAGAUUCUGAAACGUCGUCGUCUUCAGCAGCAGUGAUUUGGUGAAGAGGUUGGCCAGAUUGUCUUGUGAACGGAUUUGCGUGACUUCAAUCUUCUGAUGCUCUUGUUGUUGAUGUGAAAAGAAGAACUUCAGCACAAUGUGCUUGGUGUUGUCUCUUUUGAUGUAACCCUUCUUGAGUUGUUCGAUGCAUGUUGCGUUGUCUUAAAAAAUCAUCGUCGGGACAUCAACGGUGGGAUAAAGAUACAAGAGCUUUUCAACCAAAAGCAUUCCCGAGUUACUUCAUGUAAGGUAAGAAUUUCAGCAUGGUUAAACGAUGUGGCAACUAAGGUUUGUUUAGUUGACCUCCAAGAUAUUGCGCGGUGCCUCCAAAGGUAAAGACAUAAGAUGUUUGAGAAUGUGACUGGUGCGGAUCAGAUAAGUAUCCUGCAUCGGCAUAACCAACAAGGCGAGAAUUGACUCGAGAAGCCAAGGGUGCGGCAUCACUCGAGGAUCUGUAAGGAUAGAACAAGCCCAAAUUCGUAGUACCCAUAAGGUAGUGGAAGAUGUCUUUCACGCCAGUUCAGUGUCUACGUGUUGGUGCAUUACUGUAUCUUGCCAAAAGAUUAACAGCAAAGGAGAUGUCGGGUCUAGUGCAUUAAGCUAAGUACAAUAAAGCACAUAUUGCACAUAUAGAUAAGGAACUUCAGGCUCCAACAUCUCUUCAUCAUCCUCCUUCAGACAUAAAGGAUCUUGUUUUGCAUCUAGCGAACGAAUGACCAUAGGAGUACUCGAAGGCUUCGCUUUAUCCUUAUUAAAGCGGCGUAACACCUUUUAAGUGUAGUUCGAUCGAUGUACUAUGAUUCCAUCAGAACAAUGCUCUAUCUUGAGACCAAGACAAUAUCGAGUCUUACCUAGAUCAUUCAUCUCAAAUUCCGACUUCAGGUGCGCAGAAAUUCUCGCGAGCUCUUCAGGAGUUUCGAUAAGAUUCAUGUCAUCGACAUAUACUGCAACAAUCGUAAAUCCGGAAUGUGACUUCUUAAUGAACACACAAGGGCAUAAUUCGUUGUUCACAUAUCCCUGACUAGUCAAAUACUCACUUAGAGAUUCAGGGUAGAUAAAAUGGUGAAAGAGAUUGAUCGAAGUGAACAACAAAUUCUAGGAGGAGUUUUGGUUAAAAAUUUAAAGGAACAGAUUGAGGCUCGAAACAAUGAAAAGAUUCGAAGAACGAUACAGAUAUAUAGAGAAACUGCCCUAGGACCCAAUACAAAGAAAGCAAUCAAAAUACAAAAAACAAGGAUGGGUUUGCGUGUCUAUGGUAAGGGUGCAAACUUAAACAAAUUGGUGGUCCACACUAUCCAUUCACCUGAAAAUCGUAGUAAUUCAUCGAAAGAACAAGUUCCAUUGAAUGAAGAUGUUUAGCAUUUUGUUUGGGGGGGGGGGGGGGUUUGGUGGGAUCUACAAGUUUGGUUGCUGCAAUAAGUUUGGAAUUUUGUUGCUCUUCCUGGCCUCCACCGUAACAUCCUUCCGGGUUUUCAAUGUAUAGAGAUGAGACGGGUGUUACAUAAGAUAAACGCCGUGUAAACCUUUUUUGUUCGGUCAUAACAUCAAUAAUGUAAACAAUUAACCCUUUUACAUUUUCAAGGAUAAAGUGUUGGCGUGCUGGGAUUAUGUUUCUCUACUUAUAUAUUUUUUGCAUUUCUCUUUUUAUUGAUAGGAUCCUUUGACUCAUGCUUCUUUGCUGGUUAUGCACUUUUAAAACAGUUGUUGCAUUAAUGUUUUGAUAUUAUUUGUGAGUGGGCCGUUCUCAAAAAGAAAUUGUUUCUUUCCUUAUGUUGUCUCAUGGUGAAAUUGAGAGGAUUUGUUUAUAAAUUGUAACUUUAGUUGGUUUUUAUGAACAUUCUAUUCUCAUUUUUAACUUUGAAAAUUUUACUUGGUUCCUCAACAAUUUUUUAAUUGGUUCCUCCAAAAAAUAUAUUUGUGUGGAUGUUUAUGCUGUGUUAGUUCCUUCUUUGUAGCCAUAUCUGAAUUCUUAAAAACUAUGGUAAUUAAUGUGGUUUUUCAGGUGGUUUUUUAAAUGGGGAAAACGGAGUGAGUGACGAAUUUAUAUUGUUAUUCUCGGUUGGUAUGUAACCAUUUGAAUAUGGAAGGCAUGGUAUCAUGCAAACAAUGUAACAAUUGUAAUAGAAGGGUCCCUGCGGUGUGCAAAGGGUGGGUUUAGAGAUGGUGAAGUUUGCCUAGGUCGCAAGAUUAAUGCUCAUGGUUUCAUAGUUGUGUUGUGUUGAUGGCCGUGAAAACUGCCGACAUUGGUCGCCUCACUGUUCCUCUACAAUUAUUUAAGUGUUUGGAUCUUUAAUGACUUCUAAACUUAAUGGUUUUUAAUUAUUUCAAAGUGAUUCAUAAAGUUGGAUAUGAUUUUAUUAGAGGGUGUCAAUUUAAAGUAUGGAUUAGGGGUUGACAUUUUUAGGGUCUUCAACUGUGGAUAAAAAGUUGUUCAUCACGUUAGAGAGGAAUUUCAAGUUGAAUUAUCACCAUGACAAAAUGUUUCGUAAACUUACUUACCUUAGAGUCACGUCAAUCCAUUUUUUCCACCAUCGCAGAUUUUUCAUGAUUCUUUUCAAUUUUUUUUUCUUAUAAAUAAAAUUGUUCCAGUCAACUUAUCGAUGCAUUGACUUGUUUAAGUGGUGGAGCUUAAGCUCAAAACAUGCGGGAGUAUUUCUAUCAUUAAUAAUUUGUAUCAAACUCAAAGUUUAAUAAGAGUCCAACCUGCAAACUUUGUGAAACGGAACGAUAGAAUCACAUCAAUGCAAGCUUUAAUCUUCGAACUCUCAACUGAUGCAUAUCCUUUAUGAUGAAUCACAAAUGUUUUCUAGGUAUGUUAUUGAUUAAGUACGUGAGGUGCAACUCCGUCUUGGAUUGUUAAAAUAUAUUGAUUGUUCGAAAUUAAGGGCUUACACUCUUAAAUAUACACUUUUCAUCUUGCACAAUCUACUGGUCUAAAGUGAAUCAAACCUAAAUAAUUUGUUUGUUUCUAUCAGAUUUAUAAAUGCAUGUCUUCCAAUAUUAAUGCCGUUGAGCCAUGCAUUAGUUUUUUAUAGUUGGAUGUUCGUUCUGUUUUUGGCUUCUCUCUAAUUAUAUAUCUGUUUAUAUUUUGUCUUCUUAUUUCUCUAGGUUCUGUUUUGAUCUUUGGAGUCCUGCAUUGUUCUUUUGUCGCAUUAAUACGCAGCUACGCUUUCGUCUCUACAACGGUUAGAUUUCUGUCCAUAUAAAGAACCCUCACCUUUUUCCUUUUUUUUUUUUACAUCUAAUCGUUAUAUUAACUUGCUGACUCCUUUAUUAUAUUACGAUUAUGGCAAAUAAAGAUCGUCUCCUCAUGUACAUGCUAUAAUGUGUUACAGUAGUCUGCACCUAUACUGUUUUUUCACACCUUUAAAGAAGAAACUAAAGAGUUUCCAGAACAACCAUAAUGAUAAUACAUAAAUGAUCCUUCAUGUAUGCAAAUGAUACUCCUAUGGUGUACAUCCGUAGUAAUUCAUAUUUACACGUGUUUAAUAGUUUGAAAUUAAAUUUCCAGUCCACAACUUUAGAACAUCAUAUUAAUUGUUAAAGUAUGCCUUCCAAAGUUUGGGAACCAUCAUUUCCAUCUGUUCUUCUAUUUUAUAGAACUGGGGGCUUAACCAGUUUAUUAUAUUGUUCCAUAAUUCAUUAACUCAAACUUGGAAACAUACACUGUUUUUCCUGCACAAUAUGUUGAUGCAAAGUAAAUUAUUUCUAAAUAAUUUGUGUCUUUCUGUCGAUUUUAUACAUGCAUACCCUACAUUACUGUGAUUCUAGUACAUUUGUUAGAUUGCUCACAAGAUUGAUAUUGGUAGUAAUGUUUAACUAACAACCAAAUAUCCUCAUCUUACCUAGGUUCAAAAUAGAUCUUAUUGUGGAAGAUAGCACGAAUCACACAACUUCCUCAUGAUAGGAAGGUAUGCUAAAAAAAUACUUGGUGUUUCUUGCCACACUCUGGUGAUAGAAGAUGGAUAUAACGAUCCUUUCGUAGUUCCGCCAACUCUGAAUAAUUUGAUCGGCGAGACAAAACAAUUCUAGCUCUCUUUCGGAAAUCAAAACACUGACUUCAUCGUUCAUGGACUACUCCAAAACCAACCGCUCUCAAGCCCAACAAUUGCCUUAGUCACACCACAAAAACCUGCUACCACCGCAGGAAAACAAAUUAUGACUGAAGCAACCCCAACCCAUUGACACUUUCCCAGCGACUAUAUCAACAACCCCAUUCAGUUACACCCACAAAUACUUCAAAGAGAGCGUUGUUUCCUGAUCAAGCAAACAAAUCUGACAAGUAAAGUUUUCCGCUUGCUUAAUGAUCUCAUGUGUAAAUCUUACAAACUAUGCUUCUCUUGGGUAUACAAGAAUGUAUUGCUACUCAUUAAAAACCUUCACACCACUAUUUCGCACUCUUUUGUCACUCUUACAUUCCUCUCUAACCUUAUAAAUUUAUACCUUGAUUCACAACAAAAAGCCUCGCAACGACCAAAUAGAGACGACCAAUUCUGCUAGAAUCGCUAGAGAAUUUCACAAUCUGGUUGUCCCCAAAAUUGAAAUAGCAGACAAAGUGCCGAUAGCCACACUCAGAACAAAAUCUCAAACCAAAAAAAACCAAAGAAAGGUAAAUUACUAUAUGUUUUUCACGCAUACACCUACAUAACAAACAUCAUACUAGCAAUUUUUAAACUAUUAUUUAUAUUCUUUGCUAUAGUGCGGAAGAUGUCCUCUCUCACAAAAAGUUAACGCCACAAUCUCCGUGAUCGAUUGCUGCAGGGCGUAGUUCAUGUUUUUAGCUUCCAACAUUUUUGCUUCAAGACUUAGCUGUUUGAACAAGAACGAAACACUAGGUUUUUUUUUUUUUUUUUUUGUUCACUGCUGAAACAAAUAACUCACCUGCAAGUCAUAUAUUUUGCCAUCUUAACUGCAAGGGAAAAUAUGUAUCGACUGCAUGUUACAUAUGUUUAUUACGGAAACUGGUGUCCUGUAUGUUUUUAGCUUUGCACGUUUGUCGUUGAAAACUUAGAUGCUAAACUAAGAACAAAACAGUUUUUAUGUUUUUUGUCAAUUGUUCAAACAUGUGCCUAACCUACAAGAUAUAUAUUUUCUCACCUUGACUACAGGGGAAAGAUUUGUGUUAACUACAUGUUACUUCUUUUUAUUAGGAAACCAAAACUUUUUUUUUUUUCAUCCUAUUCAUCGUACACUGUCUUUCUAAACCAGCUCAGUUGCAUGUAUAUAAAAAUAAAGCUACAUAUCUUACCAACCCAUUUACUCAUCUAUCCCUCACUUCAUUCAUAAUUGUAUUGAAUUAUUCAGGUAAAAUGUAUCAUAUUUAUGGAGUUCAAUGUGAUGCAUUCAAGUCCCGCAACAACGUGCGGGCACAUUUUCUAGUAAUUUCUACAUUAUAUGGAUGAACAUAUGAAAAUAUUCGGAAUAGUAUGUUCAUGGAUAGCUAGAGCAUCCGCAUCAAAAUUUGAUUCUCGGUAAAUAUGUUGAACUCCUUGAACAUUGAAUUCUCUGAGAAGGGAUCAAACAUGUAUCAUUAUAGAAAAAAUUCUCCACAGAUUGAUGCGAGCCUUUAAUCAUACAAUAAAAAGUCUAGAAUAUCUUUCAGCAAAAAUAUUAUUUAAUCGAAGCCGUUUAGUGCACAUAAGACCAAACUUUAAUCACAUAGGCUCAGGUUUAAGAACUGAAGAAAAACCUAUAGGAAUAGCUCCUGCAAUUUUAACAACACUGUUGGAAACAUGGAUAACAAAUCCGGCAGCUGUGAGACUAGAAUGUUUAACAGAUCCAUCAAAAUUCAAGUUCCAACACCCAUCUAUUGAUUCCCAAUUGAUGUUAAGUUUAGCAAUGUUUUUUUACCUGAGUUUGGCAAAUUAGCUUUGUCAACUAGGGGAAGGGAUAAAUAGAUAUUCAGCUUACAAUAAAAGGAAAACUAAUGAAAAAGGCUUGAAAACUUUGAGUUUUAAUAAUAAGGACAAAAUAAAGAGUAAAGUGAAUAGUACCAGGAUUGACUUUUUAGUGUAAAAAUGUGGUUUUUCGUUAAAGUGAACAGUACCGGGUGCUUUUCGUUAAAGUUCCAAAAGCUUUAAGUCAGAUGUUUAGGACACUGCAUAUGUAAAUUAUAAUAACGAGUCUCAAUUUAUUUACACUUUGAAUACGCAAGCCCCAAAAACCUAUAAGUGUUUGGAAAACAAAAACAAAGCUUGAUAUGUGUAAUAUAGAUUCCAGCAAUAUGAGAUUUGUGUGGUUCAGAUAUCAUCUGGAUCCUUUAUGUUGCUAGGAGUACGUCUAGGACUUGGUUGAUCUAGUUCUUGAACAAUCUUAGUGAGAUCGCUUUAAUAGUUACCAACAUGAGCUCCAUUCUGCUUCAUGGUGACUGACCGUUUAUGAAGAUCAUAAUCUUUUUUAUUUAUUUAAUUCAAAUUGCACCAUUACAUUCCGCUCAUAAUGCGACAUAAAACAAAAAAAUAAAAAAAAAAAAAAAAAAGAACACAGUUGAUUCUUCAGAAAAGAAAGGGGAAAAAAACCCCCGAAAAAUGAGACAGCUUGAAUGCAAACUCAAUUUCCAUUCGAUCUCCCAAGGAGCAUCAGUUCAACCAUGCAUCAAUGCAAAAUCUACAAGGUAGACUUCAAUGUGUUUCCAAUAUCAAUGACAAAUCGAUAUCUGACAUCUGCUUUAAGAAGGCGCUCCAUGGCAAUGUUCACAUAAUCCAUUGGGAUAACCUCAAUAUCAGCUGUUAUGUUAUUCUUUGGCUGCAAAAUCAAUCAUCGCUUGCGUCUCCUUCAUGCCCCCAAUGCCACUCCCAGCUACUAUCUUCCUUCCUGCAAUUGCAAAAUGUACUCUUGUAAAGAAGUAGCCGCCGAAGACAUUAUACAGUUUAAAAAGUAAACACUUCAUACUACAAAUCCUCCAUCCCUCGGUAGAAAUAUAUCGUCGUACAGAGGAAACAAAAAGUAACAUGUCGUCGUACCCAGUGCACAAGGCUCCCGCUUUACGCAGGGUCUGGGAGAGGUGAAUGUCGGCUAGCCUUACCCCCAUUUAUGGAGAGGCUGCUCCCAAAAAGUAACAUGUCAUUGCAUUAUUUUAUAUGCAUGCUUACCCGAGAGCAACGGAAUAACUGGAAGCUCAAGAGGCUUCUCUGGUGCUCCAACCAUCACUAGCUUUCCGUGAGACUUCAACA
rnacentral:lncRNA from 1 species